GUUGUAGGGUUAAGUGACUAAGCGUACACGGUGGAUGCCUGGGCAGUCAGAGGCGAAGAAGGACGUAGUAACUUGCGAUAAGCCCAGAUAAGGCAGUAACAGCCACUUGAGUCUGGGAUUUCCGAAUGGGGAAACCCACUGGCAUAAGCCAGUAUCAUUAACUGAAUCCAUAGGUUAAUGAGGCGAACUCGGGGAACUGAAACAUCUAAGUACCCGAAGGAAAAGAAAUCAAUUGAGAUUCCGGCAGUAGCGGCGAGCGACCCCGGACCAGCCCUUAAGCUGAUUGUGAGUUAGUGGAAGCCACUGGAAAGUGGCGCGAUACAGGGUGAUAGCCCCGUACACGACAACGCACAGUGAGUGAAAACGAGUAAGACGGGACACGUGUUAUCUUGUCUGAAGAUGGGGGGACCAUCCUCCAAGGCUAAAUACUCCUGACUGACCGAUAGUGAACCAGUACCGUGAGGGAAAGGCGAAAAGAACCCCUGUGAGGGGAGUGAAAUAGAACCUGAAACCGUGUACGUACAAGCAGUGGGAGCCUCCUUGUGGGGUGACUGCGUACCUUUUGUAUAAUGGGUCAGCGACUUACGUUAUGUAGCAAGGUUAACCGUAUAGGGGAGCCGUAGGGAAACCGAGUCUUAACUGGGCGUUCAGUUGCAUGACGUAGACCCGAAACCGGGUGAUCUAGCCAUGGGCAGGUUGAAGAUUGAGUAACAUCAAUUGGAGGACCGAACCGACUAAUGUUGAAAAAUUAGCGGAUGACUUGUGGCUAGGGGUGAAAGGCCAAUCAAACCCGGAGAUAGCUGGUUCUCCCCGAAAGCUAUUUAGGUAGCGCCUCGGACGAAUACUACUGGGGGUAGAGCACUGUUAAGGCUAGGGGGUCAUCCCGACUUACCAACCCUUUGCAAACUCCGAAUACCAGUAAGUAGUAUCCGGGAGACACACGGCGGGUGCUAACGUCCGUCGUGGAGAGGGAAACAACCCAGACCGCCAGCUAAGGUCCCCAAGUUAUCGCUAAGUGGGAAACGAUGUGGGAAGGCUCAGACAGCCAGGAUGUUGGCUUAGAAGCAGCCAUCAUUUAAAGAAAGCGUAAUAGCUCACUGGUCGAGUCGGCCUGCGCGGAAGAUGUAACGGGGCUAAGCGAUACACCGAAGCUGCGGCAGUGUGAUUUAUCACAUUGGGUAGGGGAGCGUUCUGUAAGCCGUAGAAGGUGGUCUGUAAGGGCUGCUGGAGGUAUCAGAAGUGCGAAUGCUGACAUGAGUAACGAUAAAGGGGGUGAAAAACCUCCUCGCCGGAAGACCAAGGGUUCCUGUCCAACGUUAAUCGGGGCAGGGUAAGUCGGCCCCUAAGGCGAGGCCGAAAGGCGUAGUCGAUGGGAAACGGGUUAAUAUUCCCGUACUGCUGAUAACUGCGAUGGGGGGACGGAGAAGGCUAGGUGGGCCAGGCGACGGUUGUCCUGGUUCAAGUGCGUAGGUAGGUGAGUUAGGCAAAUCCGGCUCGCUAUAUACUGAGACACGAUGUCGAGACACCACGGUGUUGAAGUCAUUGAUGCCCUGCUUCCGGGAAAAGCCUCUAAGCUUCAGGUUAUCAGUAACCGUACCCCAAACCGACACAGGUGGUCGGGUAGAGAAUACCAAGGCGCUUGAGAGAACUCGGGUGAAGGAACUAGGCAAAAUGGUACCGUAACUUCGGGAGAAGGUACGCUGCCCGCGGUGAAGUCCCUGGCGGAUGGAGCUAUGGGCAGUCGCAGAUACCAGGUGGCUGCAACUGUUUAUUAAAAACAUAGCACUGUGCAAACUCGAAAGAGGACGUAUACGGUGUGACGCCUGCCCGGUGCUGGAAGGUUAAUUGAUGGGGUUAUCCUUAGGGAGAAGCUCUUGAUCGAAGCCCCAGUAAACGGCGGCCGUAACUAUAACGGUCCUAAGGUAGCGAAAUUCCUUGUCGGGUAAGUUCCGACCUGCACGAAUGGCGUAAUGAUGGCCACGCUGUCUCCACCCGAGACUCAGUGAAAUUGAAAUCGCAGUGAAGAUGCUGUGUACCCGCGGCUAGACGGAAAGACCCCGUGAACCUUUACUACAGCUUGGCACUGAACAUUGAGCCUACAUGUGUAGGAUAGGUGGGAGGCUUGGAAGCGGUGACGCCAGUUGCCGUGGAGCCAUCCUUGAAAUACCACCCUUGUAUGUUUGAUGUUCUAACUUGGCCCCAUAAUCUGGGGUGAGGACAGUGUCUGGUGGGUAGUUUGACUGGGGCGGUCUCCUCCCAAAGCGUAACGGAGGAGCACGAAGGUGGGCUAAUCACGGUCGGACAUCGUGAGGUUAGUGCAAUGGCAAAAGCCCGCUUGACUGCGAGAAUGACGGUUCGAGCAGGUGCGAAAGCAGGUCAUAGUGAUCCGGUGGUUCUGAAUGGAAGGGCCAUCGCUCAACGGAUAAAAGGUACUCCGGGGAUAACAGGCUGAUACCGCCCAAGAGUUCAUAUCGACGGCGGUGUUUGGCACCUCGAUGUCGGCUCAUCACAUCCUGGGGCUGAAGUCGGUCCCAAGGGUAUGGCUGUUCGCCAUUUAAAGUGGUACGCGAGCUGGGUUUAGAACGUCGUGAGACAGUUCGGUCCCUAUCUGCCGUGGGCGUUGGAGAAUUGAGAGGGGCUGCUCCUAGUACGAGAGGACCGGAGUGGACGAACCUCUGGUGUUCGGGUUGUCACGCCAGUGGCAUUGCCCGGUAGCUAAGUUCGGAAUUGAUAACCGCUGAAAGCAUCUAAGCGGGAAGCGAGCCUCGAGAUGAGUUCUCCCUAAGGCUAAAAGCCUUCUAAAGGGUUGUUGGAGACGACGACGUAGAUAGGUCAGGUGUGUAAGUGCUGUGAGGCAUUGAGCUAACUGAUACUAAUUGCCCGUGAGGCUUAACCCUACAACACCCAAGGGGUUU
rnacentral:rRNA from 1 species